rnacentral:rRNA from 1 species
AUUGAACGCUGGCGGCAUGCUUUACACAUGCAAGUCGAACGGUAACAGGUUAAGCUGACGAGUGGCGAACGGGUGAGUAAUGCAUCGGAACGUGCCCGGUCGUGGGGGAUAACGCAGCGAAAGCUGCGCUAAUACCGCAUACGAUCUGAGGAUGAAAACGGGGACCGUAAGGCCUCGCGCGAUCGGAGGGGCCGAUGUCAGAUUAGGUAGUUGGUGGGGUAAAGGCUCACCAAGCCAACGAUCUGUAGCUGGUCUGAGAGGACGACCAGCCACACUGGGACUGAGACACGGCCCAGACUCCUACGGGAGGCAGCAGUGGGGAAUUUUGGACAAUGGGCGAAAGCCUGAUCCAGCAAUGCCGCGUGCAGGAAGAAGGCCUUCGGGUUGUAAACUGCUUUUGUACGGAGCGAAAAGGUCUCCUCUAAUACAGGGGGCUCAUGACGGUACCGUAAGAAUAAGCACCGGCUAACUACGUGCCAGCAGCCGCCGUAA